rnacentral:rRNA from 1 species
CCUACGGGUGGCAGCAGUGGGAAAUAUUGGACAAUGGGCGAAAGCCUGAUCCAGCCAUGCCGCGUGUGUGAAGAAGGCCUUCGGGUUGUAAAGCACUUUCAGUGGGGAAGAAAGCCUUGGGGCUAAUACCCUCGAGGAAGGACAUCACCCACAGAAGAAGCACCGGCUAACUCCGUGCCAGCAGCCGCGGUAAUACGGAGGGUGCGAGCGUUAAUCGGAAUUACUGGGCGUAAAGCGCGCGUAGGCGGUCUGAUAAGCCGGUUGUGAAAGCCCCGGGCUCAACCUGGGAACGGCAUCCGGAACUGUCAGGAUAGAGUGCAGGAGAGGAAGGUAGAAUUCCCGGUGUAGCGGUGAAAUGCGUAGAGAUCGGGAGGAAUACCAGUGGCGAAGGCGGCCUUCUGGACUGACACUGACGCUGAGGUGCGAAAGCGUGGGUAGCAAACAGGAUUAGAUACCCUAGUAGUC